AUUCUAACUUUGCUGAUCUGGACUUGAGGAUAAUAUUGUGAGCUGCACAUGCAUCCAACCUCUAGAAGCGUCCACACGAGCCCAUGAAUCACGAUCAGAAGUCCUGGUCCAGAAAAUCAGCACAAUAUGCUAGUACUAUGCCGAUCCUUCUUUGAUGGUCGAUCAGAUGCCUCCUUCUUCUUGAUUUAGACUCUUCCAAAGAUGAGAAUUAGGAGAAGGAGUUUUAGAUGUAAGAUACUCUCAGAAAAUUCACAG
rnacentral:lncRNA from 1 species